rnacentral:rRNA from 1 species
UCUACGGGUGGCAGCAGUGGGGAAUAUUGCACAAUGGGGGAAACCCUGAUGCAGCGACGCCGCGUGAGCGAUGAAGUAUUUCGGUAUGUAAAGCUCUAUCAGCAGGGAAGAAAAUGACGGUACCUGACUAAGAAGCCCCGGCUAACUACGUGCCAGCAGCCGCGGUAAUACGUAGGUGGCAAGCGUUGUUCGGAAUAACUGGGCGUAAAGGAUGCGUAGGCGGUUAAACAAGUUAUAUGUUAAAUAUAUAGGCUUAACCUGUAGAAAGCAUAUAAAACUGUUUAACUAGAGUGCAGGAGAGGUAAGUGGAAUUCCUAGUGUAGCGGUGAAAUGCGUAGAGAUUAGGAAGAACACCAGUGGCGAAGGCGACUUACUGGACUGUAACUGACGCUGAGGCAUGAGAGCAUGGGGAGCAAACAGGAUUAGAUACCCCAGUAGUC